CAGCCGCCGCGGGAAUACGUAGGUGGCAAGCGUUGUCCGGAAUUAUUGGGCGUAAAGGGCUCGCAGGCGGUUUCUUAAGUCUGAUGUGAAAGCCCCCGGCUCAACCGGGGAGGGUCAUUGGAAACUGGGAAACUUGAGUGCAGAAGAGGAGAGUGGAAUUCCACGUGUAGCGGUGAAAUGCGUAGAGAUGUGGAGGAACACCAGUGGUGAAGGCGACUCUCUGGUCUGUAACUGACGCUGAGGAGCGAAAGCGUGGGGAGCGAACAGGAUUAGAUACCCGCGUAGUCCCUGUCUCUUAUAA
rnacentral:rRNA from 1 species